CUCCUGCAGCGUUCGAUUAGUGCUGGGUGUUUCCUGAACCUGUUUUUACCCCGGAAGCUGAUUCUAGUUUGUGGUGUGCAUGCCUGUUUUAUACGGGAAGCCUGAUCAACUGAUGAAGUCUCCACUUGAACCUCCGGUUCAAGGACGAAGGUACGAGACGGCGCAGGCGGGAG
rnacentral:other from 1 species